GAUGAACGCUGGCGGCGUGCCUAAUACAUGCAAGUCGAGCGAACGGACGAGAAGCUUGCUUCUCUGAUGUUAGCGGCGGACGGGUGAGUAACACGUGGAUAACCUACCUAUAAGACUGGGAUAACUUCGGGAAACCGGAGCUAAUACCGGAUAAUAUUUUGAACCGCAUGGUUCAAAAGUGAAAGACGGUCUUGCUGUCACUUAUAGAUGGAUCCGCGCUGCAUUAGCUAGUUGGUAAGGUAACGGCUUACCAAGGCAACGAUGCAUAGCCGACCUGAGAGGGUGAUCGGCCACCCUGGAACUGGGACACGGUCCAGACUCCUACGGGAGGCAGCAGUAGGGUAUCUUCCGCAAUGGGCGAAAGCCUGACGGAGCAACGCCGCGUGAGUGAUGAAGGUCUUCGGAUCGUAAAACUCUGUUAUUAGGGAAGAACAUAUGUGUAAGUAACUGUGCACAUCUUGACGGUACCUAAUCAGAAAGCCACGGCUAACUACGUG
rnacentral:rRNA from 1 species